GACGAACGCUGGCGGCGUGCUUAACACAUGCAAGUCGAACGGAAAGGCCCUGCUUUUGUGGGGUGCUCGAGUGGCGAACGGGGGAGUAACACGUGAGUAACCUGCCCUUGACUUUGGGAUAACUUCAGGAAACUGGGGCUAAUACCGGAUAGGAGCUCCUGCUGCAUGGUGGGGGUUGGAAAGUUUCGGCGGUUGGGGAUGGACUCGCGGCUUAUCAGCUUGUUGGUGGGGUAGUGGCUUACCAAGGCUUUGACGGGUAGCCGGCCUGAGAGGGUGACCGGCCACAUUGGGACUACGAUAGGGCCCAGACUCCUACGGGAGGCAGCAGUGGGGAAUAUUGCACAAUGGGCGGAAGCCUGAUGCAGCAACGCCGCGUGCGGGAUGACGGCCUUCGGGUUGUAAACCGCUUUCGCCUGUGACGAAGCGUGAGUGACGGUAAUGAGUAAAGAAGCACCGGCUAACUACGUG
rnacentral:rRNA from 1 species